GGCCACCACUUAAAACUUGCAACCCGGUGAUGGAAAUACAUAUAUUCUGAUUCGUGGAUCACUAUAUGAGAAGUUUGAAAAGAGUCCAUAUAAAAAUGGGUGCUUUAUCGCUAACGGUGGAUGACUCCAAGAAUGAGGAGGAAACUCAUAGACAACCCUCUAGGAUCCACUGA